GACGAACGCUGGCGGCGUGCUUAACACAUGCAAGUCGAACGGAAAGGCCCUGCUUUUGUGGGGUGCUCGAGUGGCGAACGGGUGAGUAACACGUGAGUAACCUGCCCUUGACUUCGGGAUAACUUCAGGAAACUGGGGCUAAUACCGGAUAGGAGCUCCUGCUGCAUGGUGGGGGUUGGAAAGUUUCGGCGGUUGGGGAUGGACUCGCGGCUUAUCAGCUUGUUGGUGGGGUAGUGGCUUACCAAGGCUUUGACGGGUAGCCGGCCUGAGAGGGUGACCGGCCACAUUGGGACUGAGAUACGGCCCAGACUCCUACGGGAGGCAGCAGUGGGGAAUAUUGCACAAUGGGCGGAAGCCUGAUGCAGCAACGCCGCGUGCGGGAUGACGGCCUUCGGGUUGUAAACCGCUUUCGCCUGUGACGAAGCGUGAGUGACGGUAACGGGUAAAGAAGCACCGGCUAACUACGUG
rnacentral:rRNA from 1 species